rnacentral:rRNA from 1 species
UACGGGGGGAGCAAGCGUUGUUCGGAUUUACUGGGCGUAAAGGGCGCGUAGGCGGCGUGACAAGUCACUUGUGAAAUCUCCGGGCUUAACCCGGAGCGGCCAAGUGAUACUGUCGUGCUAGAGUGCGGGAAGGGGCUACUGGAAUUCUCGGUGUAGCGGUGAAAUGCGUAGAUAUCGAGAGGAACACCAGUCGGCGAAGGCGGAUAGCGUGG